CAAAAGUUCACUGAAGUUCAAGGGGAGAGGAUACAAAGAAGUCAGCCCAGACCCACCCAGGUUCAAGGGAUGUCACAGUUACACUUUAAGAAGAGCAUAUGGAAUGUGAUGUAUUGUGGUGGCCACUCUUGGAAAAUACAAUCUGCCACACAACCUAACCGUUCACGCUAUGGGACACAUAAAUACACAAAAUUUUGGUGUCUUUGCUUUUGCUGUUUUAAAAGCUGUAAAAAGAUGGGCAUCUUUUCUCAAAACAUAAGCAUAUUUCCAUGCGGAAUAAAAAGAAUGAAGUGUUUAGGAGGUGAUAACAGGGACUUUAUACUGGUCUCUAUAUAUCUUUGUAUGAUGAAAUGUUAUUACUUCUAGGCACAGAGAACAUCUUCCUCCCUUAGAGUACUCUCAGGAACAGUCACAAAAGAGAGUUACUUUUUAAGUUCCUUUUUUCUUUCUCUUGAACAGUAUGAAGAAAAUCUCCUAGUUCUACAAAUUGAGGACUAUGAUACAACGGUUGCAAAAAUGGUGUCUCCUUGAGGGUGCAUCUUUGUUCUCUCUGCACUCCAGAAAACCUGGAGAGAGGCUCUGGGUGUCUUGUCUUCAUCAGCAGCAUAGCGGCUAAAGGGGUCUCUGGAGCCUGGAUGGUUGGGUGUGACUCCUGGCUUUGCCACUGGCUCUCUGUGCUUACUUAACUUCCCUGUGUUUCAAUUUCCUUAUAUGGACAACGAGUCUAAUGUUACCACAUGCAAUAUUUUUGUAAACACUAAAUUUGUUCAUCUUGAAUUCUGCUUAGACUUGAUGAGUGCUUUAAAAGUCAUCCGCUGUUAUUAGUAAUUACAAGAGAGCUGAUUCAGAAAGUUGGAAGUAACUUGCACCAGAUUAAGUGGAUUUAAUCAUGAACACUAUCCCCAUGGGCAAUCCCAGAAUCCUCCCAGCCCGCAGGAUAAUUAAAGUCAGGCUCUCGAUGGAAACCUCUCCUGCCUGUCUUCCUCCGUGUGAGAGAGUUGAAAUUGUCAAGAUGGGAGGCUGCAGGAAGGGGACGUGCGUCACAGACAGGCGGCAGGAACCCUCCUGCGUUCCUAUUUUACAGACAGGGAUGCAGCCUGGAGCUCCUGCCUGGGCGUGGCGGCCACAGGGCGCAGUGGGAAGU
rnacentral:lncRNA from 1 species